UAAUCCUAUCAAUUUUAAUAAUUGUAAAAAUAGGUUUUUUUAAAAAUAAUUAUAAAAAUAGAUCUUUAAAUAUGGUGAAUGAUUCACCGCAUUCAUUACUCUUUUUUAGGAGUAAAAAAAGAAUAAAAAACGGUGAAAUGGUGAUUCACCAUUUUUACCAUCGUAGAAAUAUAGAAAGAAAUAAAAAAAAAAAGUGGUAAAUAAUUCACCGUUUUUAUAGGACCAUAUUUACAAAUAAAAAUUUAACAGAUAUAUUUUUAGAAUAAAAUUUUAGGCGAAGGCUAUUGCAAUA
rnacentral:lncRNA from 1 species